rnacentral:rRNA from 1 species
GGACAGUGUCUGGUGGGUAGUUUGACUGGGGCGGUCUCCUCCUAAAGCGUAACGGAGGAGCACGAAGGUUGGCUAAUCCUGGUCGGACAUCAGGAGGUUAGUGCAAUGGCAUAAGCCAGCUUGACUGCGAGCGUGACGGCGCGAGCAGGUGCGAAAGCAGGUCAUAGUGAUCCGGUGGUUCUGAAUGGAAGGGCCAUCGCUCAACGGAUAAAAGGUACUCCGGGGAUAACAGGCUGAUACCGCCCAAGAGUUCAUAUCGACGGCGGUGUUUGGCACCUCGAUGUCGGCUCAUCACAUCCUGGGGCUGAAGUAGGUCCCAAGGGUAUGGCUGUUCGCCAUUUAAAGUGGUACGCGAGCUGGGUUUAGAACGUCGUGAGACAGUUCGGUCCCUAUCUGCCGUGGGCGCUGGAGAACUGAGGGGGGCUGCUCCUAGUACGAGAGGACCGGAGUGGACGCAUCACUGGUGUUCGGGUUGUCAUGCCAAUGGCACUGCCCGGUAGCUAAAUGCGGAAGAGAUAAGUGCUGAAAGCAUCUAAGCACGAAACUUGCCCCGAGAUGAGUUCUCCCUGAGACUACGAGUCUCCUGAAGGAACGUUGAAGACGACGACGUUGAUAGGCCGGGUGUGUAAGCGCAGCGAUGCGUUGAGCUAACCGGUACUAAUGAACCGUGAGGCUUAACCUUACAACGCC